rnacentral:tRNA from 1 species
GGUUCCAUAGUGUAGUGGUUAGCACGUCUGCUUUACACGCAGAAGGUCCUGGGUUCACUCCCCAGUGGGGCCA